rnacentral:rRNA from 1 species
GACGAACGCUGGCGGCGUGCUUAACACAUGCAAGUCGAACGGAAAGGCCCUGCUUUUGUGGGGUGCUCGAGUGGCGAACGGGUGAGUAACACGUGAGUAACCUGCCCUUGACUUUGGGAUGACUUCAGGAAACUGGGGCUAAUACCGGAUAGGAGCUCCUGCUGCAUGGUGGGGGUUGGAAAGUUUCGGCGGUUGGGGAUGGACUCGCGGCUUAUCAGCUUGUUGGUGGGGUAGUGGCUUACCAAGGCUUUGACGGGUAGCCGGCCUGAGAGGGUGACCGGCCACAUUGGGCCUAAGGUACGGCCCAGACUCCAACGGGAGGCAGCGGUGGGGAAUAUUACACAGUGGGCGGAAGCCUGAUGCGGCAACGCCGCGUGCGGGAUGACGGCCUUCGGGUUGUAAACCGCUUUCGCCUGUGACGAAGCGUGAGUGACGGUAAUGGGUAAAGAAGCACCGGCUAACUACGUG